rnacentral:rRNA from 1 species
UACGGAGGGUGCAAGCGUUGUCCGGAUUUAUUGGGUUUAAAGGGUGCGUAGGCGGCCCGUUAAGUCAGUGGUGAAAGCCUCCAGCUCAACUGGAGAACUGCCAUUGAUACUGACGGGCUUGAGUACAGACGAGGUUGGCGGAAUUGAUUGUGUAGCGGUGAAAUGCAUAGAUACAAUCAUGAACUCCGAUUGCGUAGGCAGCUAACUAGGCUGUAACUGACGCUGAGGCACGAAAGCGUGGGGAGCGAACAGG